ACGAACGCUGGCGGCGUGCUUAACACAUGCCAGUCGAACGGUGAAGCGCCUUCCUUUUUGGUGGGUGUGGAUGAGUGGCGAACGGGUGAGUAACACGUGAGUAACCUGCCCCCUUCUUCUGGAUAACCGCAUGAAAGUGUGGCUAAUACGGGAUAUUCUGGGUCUGUCGCAUGAUGGGUCUGGGAAAGAUAUUGUUUCGGUGGGGGAUGGGCUCGCGGCCUAUCAGCUUGUUGGUGGGGUGAUGGCCUACCAAGGCGGUGACGGGUAGCCGGCCUGAGAGGGUGGACGGUCACACUUGGACUGAGACACGGCCCAGACUCCUACGGGAGGCAGCAGUGGGGAAUAUUGCACAAUGGGCGCAAGCCUGAUGCAGCGACGCCGCGUGAGGGAUGGAGGCCUUCGGGUUGUGAACCUCUUUCGCCAGUGAAGCAGGCCUGCCUCGUUUGUGGGUGGGUUGACGGUAGCUGGAUAAGAAGCGCCGGCUAACUACGUG
rnacentral:rRNA from 1 species